AAAUGCUUUUUAUACGCCCGUCUAUGACGGGACGUAUUAUGGUAUACCCCGCGUCCGUCUGUCCGUCCGUCCGUCUGUCCGUCCGUAUGUCUGUUAAUGUCGUACGCUACGUCAAAUAUCCUUUGACAGAUUUUCUUCAAAUUUUAACACAAUCUUAAUAUUGAUAAACCCUGAUCCCCUUUCGUUUUUGACGGAAUUCUGAAUUGUCGUUCCAGAGUUAUGGGACUUUGUUCGUCAAAAUUUCGUGAUUUCAUUGAAUGUCCUACUGUAGCUAUAUAAAAAUGUUAAAGUUGUUAUAACUUUGGUAUGCUUGGACCUAGAGUCUUGAAACUUGACAUGAAGGUUGGCCAGAACUAGUAAGUAACCACUGGACAUUUCAAGGUCAUUCAUUUGAAGGUCAAGGUCACUGUGACCUUGAAUGUAAAAAUGUUAAAGUUCUUAUUUCAUGUUAUAACUUUGGUAUGCUUGUACCUAGAGUCUUCAAACUUGAAAUAAAGAUUGGCCAGUACUAGAAGAUGACCACUGGUCAUUUCAAUGUCAUUCAUUUGAAGGUCAAGGUCACUGUGACCUUAAAUGUUAAAAUGUUAAAAUUGUUAUAACUUUGGUAUGCUUGGACAUAGAGUCUUCAAACUUGACAUGAAGGUUUGCAAGCACACUUAGAUGACCACUGGUCAUUUCAAGGUCAUUCAUUCUAAGGUCAAGGUCACACAAGGUCACUGUGACCUUAAAUGUUAAAAUGUUAAAAUUGUUAUAACUUUGGUAUGCUUGGACAUAGAGUCUUCAAACUUGACAUGAAGGUUUGCAAGCACACUUAGAUGACCACUGGUCAUUUCAAGGUCAUUCAUUCUAAGGUCAAGGUCACUGUGACCUUAAAUGUUAUUGUUGUUCAUGUAUCCUACCGUAGCUCAAAUAUCCCCCGAUGGAUUUUUUAUACGCCCGUCUAUGACGGGACGUAUUAUGGUAUACCCCGCGUCCGUCUGUCCGUCCGUCCGUCCGUCCGUCCGUCCGUCCGUCUGUUAAUGUCGUACGCUACGUCAAAUAUCCUUUGACAGAUUUUCUUCAAAUUUUAACACAAUCUUAAUAUUGAUAAACCCUGAUCCCCUUUCGUUUUUGACGGAAUUCUGAAUUGUCGUUCCAGAGUUAUGGGACUUUGUUCGUCAAAAUUUCGUGAUUUCAUUGAAUGUCCUACUGUAG